UCAUAUGCUUGUCUCAAAGAUUAAGCCAUGCAUGUCUAAGUGCAUGCCGAAAUAAGGUGAAACCGCGAAUGGCUCAUUAAAUCAGUUAUGGUUCAUUAGAUCAUAAAUUAUCCUACUUGGAUAACUGUGGCAAUUCUAGAGCUAAUACAUGCAAUCAAGCUCCGACCUUCAUUGGAACGAGCGCUUUUAUUAGAACAAGACCAAUACGGAUUUCUCCUCCUUUUUGUCUGCAGUUGUCUUCGGGCAGCGGGACUUCAAAAGGCUGGGGUUCCGUUAAUCCCAAUUGGUGACUCUGGAUAACUAAAUGCCGAUCGCACGGUCUCGCACCGGCGAUAAAUCUUUCAAAUGUCUGCCUUAUCAACUGUCGAUGGUAGGUUACGCGCCUACCAUGGUUGUAACGGGUAACGGGGAAUCAGGGUUCGAUUCCGGAGAGGGAGCCUGAGAAACGGCUACCACAUCCAAGGAAGGCAGCAGGCACGCAAAUUACCCACUCUCAGAACGAGGAGGUAGUGACGAAAAAUAACAAUACGGGACUCUUCCGAGGCCCCGUAAUUGGAAUGAGUACACUUUAAAUCCUUUAACAAGGAUCAAUUGGAGGGCAAGUCUGGUGCCAGCAGCCGCGGUAAUUCCAGCUCCAAUAGCGUAUAUUAAAGUUGUUGCGGUUAAAAAGCUCGUAGUUGGAUCUCGGUUCCGGACCGGCGGUCCGCCCUUCGAUGGGUGGUAUCACUGCUGGCUCCGGAGCCAAUAAAGCCGGCCGUCUCUCGAUGCUCUUCACCGAGUGUCUUGGGGUACCGGAACAUUUACUUUGAACAAAUUAAAGUGCUCAAAGCAGGCGUUAAAAAUCGCCCAAAUAGCCCAGCAUGGAAUAAUGGAAUAGGACUUCGGUUCUAUUUUGUUGGUUUUUCGGAACCCGAGGUAAUGAUUAAUAGGGACAGACGGGGGCAUUCGUAUUGCAGCGCUAGAGGUGAAAUUCUUGGACCGUUGCAAGACGAACUACUGCGAAAGCAUUUGCCAAGAAUGUUUUCAUUAAUCAAGAACGAAAGUUAGAGGUUCGAAGGCGAUCAGAUACCGCCCUAGUUCUAACCAUAAACGAUGCCAACCAGCGAUCCGCCGGAGUUCCUCCGAUGACUCGGCGGGCAGCUUCCGGGAAACCAAAGUUUUUGGGUUCCGGGGGAAGUAUGGUUGCAAAGCUGAAACUUAAAGGAAUUGACGGAAGGGCACCACCAGGAGUGGAGCCUGCGGCUUAAUUUGACUCAACACGGGAAAACUCACCCGGCCCGGACACUUUAAGGAUUGACAGAUUGAGAGCUCUUUCUUGAUUCGGUGGGUGGUGGUGCAUGGCCGUUCUUAGUUGGUGGAACGAUUUGUCUGGUUAAUUCCGAUAACGAACGAGACUCUAGCCUAUUAAAUAGACGACCGAUCCCGGGGUGCUGGGACUCCCAUCUGGCUUCUGUUUAGUUCGUCUUUACCGUUUCGGCGUAUGUGGCUCAACUAACCGGCCGUGGCGGAAACAAGUUUUUUACCCGGAGGUUUGGUGCGGUGUAAGAGAGUUUUUUUUUUUAAAGAAACUUAUCGCAUCCGCACUUUACUGCAAGGGGGAAGCGAUGCCCGUCAUUGGUGGUCGGAGUUGUUGUUAACGCGUCGGAUGCGGAUUGCGAACGGCAGUUGUUGAUUAGCAUGGGUCAGUCACUGGCGUUGCCUCUGUCGGUCGAUUAUGCUUCUUAAAGGGACAAGCGGCUUUCAGCCGCACGAGAUUGAGCAAUAACAGGUCUGUGAUGCCCUUAGAUGUCCGGGGCCGCACGCGCGCUACACUGAAGGAAUCAACGUGUAAAACCUCCCAGUCCGGAAGGACUGGGUAACCCGUUGAACCUCCUUCGUGAUAGGGAUCGGGGCUUGAAAUUGUCCCCCGCGAACGAGGAAUUCCCAGUAAGCGCGAGUCAUAAGCUCGCGUUGAUUACGUCCCUGCCCUUUGUACACACCGCCCGUCGCUACUACCGAUUGAAUGAUUUAGUGAGGUCUUCGGAUUGGCAGUCUCUGCGGCUCUCGAGUCGCGGUGGCCCACCGAGAAGAUGACCGAACUUGACCAUUUAGAGGAAGUAAAAGUCGU
rnacentral:rRNA from 1 species